rnacentral:rRNA from 1 species
CGUUAGCGGCGGACGGGUGAGUAACACGUGGAUAACCUACCUAUAAGACUGGGAUAACUUCGGGAAACCGGAGCUAAUACCGGAUAAUAUAUUGAACCGCAUGGUUAAAUAGUGAAAGACGGUUUUGCUGUCACUUAUAGAUGGAUCCGCGCCGCAUUAGCUAGUUGGUAAGGUAACGGCUUACCAAGGCAACGAUGCGUAGCCGACCUGAGAGGGUGAUCGGCCACACUGGAACUGAGACACGGUCCAG